rnacentral:rRNA from 1 species
AUUGAACGCUGGCGGCAGGCCUAACACAUGCAAGUCGAACGAGUGGCGGACGUGUGAGUCAUGUCUGGGACACUGCCCGGUGGAUGGGUAUAACUACUGGAAACGGUAGCCAAUACCGCAUACCAUCGGAUGUGCCCAAAUGGGAUUAGCUAGUAGGUGGGGUAAAGGAUCAACGAGACCACGAUCCCUAGCUGGUCUGAGAGGACGACCAGCCACACUGGAACUGAGAAACGGUCCAGACUACUACGGGAGGAAGCAGUGGGGAAUAUGGCACAAUGGGCGCAAGCCUGAUGCAGCCAUGCCGCGUGUAUGAAGAAGGCCUUCGGGUUGUAAAGUACUUUCAGCGGGGAGGCGUUACCCGCAGAAGAAGCACCGGCUAUCUCCGUGCCAGCCGCCGCGGUAAUUC